rnacentral:rRNA from 1 species
UGGGGAAUAUUGGACAAUGGGGGCAACCCUGAUCCAGCAAUGCCGCGUGAGUGAUGAAGGCCUUCGGGUUGUAAAGCUCUUUUGCCAGGGACGAUGAUGACGGUACCUGGAGAAUAAGCCCCGGCUAACUUCGUGCCAGCAGCCGCGGUAAUACGAAGGGGGCAAGCGUUGUUCGGAAUUACUGGGCGUAAAGGGCGCGUAGGCGGCCGAUCAAGUCAGGCGUGAAAUUCCCGGGCUCAACCUGGGGGCUGCGCUUGAUACUGAUUGGCUUGAAUGCGGGAGAGGAUAGUGGAAUUCCCAGUGUAGAGGUGAAAUUCGUAGAUAUUCGGAGGAACACCAGUGGCGAAGGCGGCUCACUGGCUCGAUACUGACGCUGAGGUGCGAAAGCGUGGGGAGCAAACAGGAUUAGAUACC